ACCCAGGAGGCCGAGGUUGCAGUGAGCCAAGAUCGUGCCACUGCACUCCGGUGAGGGCAACAAGAGCAGAACUCCAUCUCAAAACAAACAAACAAACAAAGAGUUGGGCUGUGGAAAGAAUGCAGGAGAAGAGGAGCAAGAAAAGAAUGCCUGCCUCCACAAACAUAACACACGGCUCUUCCAGAUGCUCUCAGCUACCAGUGAGCUACCCUGUCCACAAUCAGUGAUGAGGUUUACGAAGAAGUACACCUGCAAGAGGUCACAUCUGCUGACUCCCACACCAAAGGAUUAAGAACUCAAGUGAAGUUGUUCCCUAGCAAGUUGUUGGUUGACAAAGGGAAAAUAAGGAGAGAGCUCCAGACUGCCAAGGCUGCCUGUGUAGGGGAGAAGAGGAGGGUCUUCAGGGGCAUAGGGUUGGGGACAUUCAGAACUAUGAUAAUGGCCUUUUCUUGAUCCACACACUCAUCUACCACCAACCCUAGCAGAAAGACAGAGGAGGUAUUUAUCCAUCCCUGCUGCUUCCUUCCUACCCUAGUCUAAAUCCUUGACCAAGUAGGGCUGGAUACCAGGAUUGAGAUGUCACAAUUUUAAGGGGGGUUUCAAGCAGGGGAAAUCACAAUACUUCAUCUUCUCUUGCCAUUAGCUUUUUCUGUUAAAAAUACGAUGUUUAAAAAGCACAUAAACAUUUAUCCAUUUAUCAUUUACUUUGAAAUUCAGCCUUUGUUCUAUCCAGAACCAAAUGCCAACACAGCAUUCUUCUCCAGGCUUAAUAUGACUUAUUCACUUAGGGAAGGGCUGGGAGGCUCUGAACCUUCUGAAAUUAGAUGAAAGCUGUGUGUAUAUGUACAUUUUCCGAGGGACAGGGAUUAUCAGUUUUAUUGGAUUCACAAAGGAUCUGUGUUAGAGACCUUGAGAGGAAUUAAACAUCUCUGUGAGUAUAUGCUGUAGGGCUUUGCUGCACUGUCCUUGGAGGCUGUGCUGACAGUGACCCCAGUGGUGAAUCCCCCAGGGCUCUCAUGGGAAGUUAGAAAUGAAAGCAGCUCAAAUAAAGAAGCCUGACUACUGAGUGUGGCCAAUGGGAGAGAGAAUCAGGUAGGGGAAGAGACCUCCAGACCACAGCAAUUAUCAAUCAGCAUGGGGAGUUGGGAGUCUGCAGAAAAGGUCUUUUUUCUUUUUUUUCUAGAAAAAAAAUUUCUUUAAAAAAGUAAGGAUUCUUCUAGAGGGUGUGUACUUUAGAAGACAAUUUGGCAUGGCUUAAUGUCUUAGUGUGCUCAGCUGUCAUAGCAAAAUACCAUAGACUGAGUGGCAUAAACAGCAGACAUUUAUUUCUCACAGUUCUGGAGCCUGGAAGUUCAAGAUCAAGGUGCCAGCAUGGUCAUUUCCUUGUGAGGACUCUCUUUUAGGUUGCAGACAGCUGCCUUCUUGCUGUAUUCUCACAUGGGGAAAGGGGGGAUGGAGAGCGGAGAGAGAAACAACGAGCAAGCCUCUGGUCUCUUCUUAUAAAGGCACUGAUCCCACCAUGAGAACCUUACCCUCAUAACCUCAUCCAAACCCAGUGAUCUCGCAAAGCCCCAUCUCCAAAUACUGUCACAUUGGGGGUUAGGGCUUCAACAUCCACAUUUUUUGGGAAAUGAUUCAGCCCAUGGCACCUAGUAAAAUUAAAGAUACAUAGUGAUGGUUAAUUUUAUGUGUCAAUGUGACUGGGCCACAGGGUGCCCAGAAUAAACCUUAUUUCUGGGUGUGUCAGGGAGGUUGAUUCCAGCACCCAAUCCUUUGAAGGCCUGAAUAGAACAAAAAGGUGGAGGAAGGAGGAAUUUGCUUCCUUUUUCUGGCUUCACUGCUUGAGCUGGGACAUCUCAUCUCAUCUAUCUCCUCUCCUCUCCUCUCCUCUCCUCUCCUCUCCUCUCCUCUCCUCUCCUCUCCUCUCCUGUCAUCUUCUCUGGCCCUCAGACUGGGUUACACCAUCAGCUCCCCUGGUUUUCAGACCUUCAGACUUGGACUGAAUUAUACCACCUGCAUUACUGGGUCUCCAGUGUGCAGACAUUAGAUCAUGGGACUUCUCAGCCUCUACAGUUGUGUGAGUGAAUACCUCCUAAUAAAUCUGUCUAUCUAUUAUCCAUCCAUUCACCCAUCCCACUGGUUCUGUUUUCCUGGAGGACCCUGACUAACAUAUGCACAUAUGUUGCUACCCAGCAAUUCUGACCCUCUACAUAUGCAUUAGAGACACAUACGUACACGUGACCUAACAGGUGCAUUGAACAUUCUCAGCAGCACUGCUAGCAACAACAGCAGCAGAAUGGACAGACACACAAGACACAUUCACACUGGGGGACACUGUGUAGCAGUGAAAAUAGAUGAAGCACAUCUCCAGGCAUGAGCCAGGAAGGAUCUCACCAAUGUUGGGCAGGAAGAACUGGCUGCAGAGGAUACAUACAAGUGAUCUGGUUUAUAUGAAGCUAAAAAAUAGGCACAACUGAGCACUAUAUUGUCUGUGAAUAUGCACAUGUGGGACAUGGCUUCCAAGAAAGCCAAGGAAACAAGUAACCAAGUUCAGAGUAUUUCCCUGGGGAUGGGGUGGCAGGCUGUCAGAGGAGGGCACAUUGACUAGGGGGUCAUUGGUAUUGGUAAUGUUCUCUGUCUUAAACUUGGCUCACGGGAUCAUAGCAGUUUAUUUUAUCAUUAUUUUUAAAAAUGUAUUUGUGCAUAUAUACAUAUAUAUACACACACGCAAUAUAAUACAUAUUUACAUAAUGUAUGUCACAUAUACCGUAUAUCAUAUAUAAAGCAUGGCACUCUUGUAUGCAUAUUUCUUUUUUUUUUUCGACACAGGGUUUUGCUCUUAUUGCCCAGGCUGGAGUGCAAUGGCAGGAUCUCAGCUCACCGCAACCUCCGCCUCCCAGGUUCAAGUGAUUCCCCUGCCUCAGCCUCCCUCAGCUGGGAUUACAGGCGUGCGCCACCAUGCCCAGCUAAUUUUGUAUUUUUAAUACAGAUGGGGUUUCUCCAUGUUGAUCAGUCUGGUCUUGAACUCCCGAACUCAGGUAAUCUGCCCGCCUCAGCCUCCCAAAGUGCUGGGAUUACAGGCGUGAGCCACUGCACCCAGCUUGUAUGCAUAUUUCAAAUUAAAAAAGAAUCUCGUUAGAGAAACAAAAUGUAAAAAAUAAAAAAAUUAAAAAUUCUCAUUAGAAAAACAAAAUAAAUUUUUUUUAAAAAGGGAGAAUUAAUAAACACUGUAAUAUAGUCACGCAAUGGAAUACUAAUCAACAAUAAAAAUCGCAUUAUUCAUAUGUAUUAACAACAUGAAUGAAUCUCCAAAUAACUAUGCUGAGAUGCGUACAUCUCACUGUGCUGAGCAACAGACACAAAACAAUGUAUGCUCCGUGGUUCUGUUGAUAUGCGUUCUGGGACAGACAUAACUAUAGUGACAGAAAUCAGAUCAGUGAAAAGUGUGGGGAAUGGAAUUGAUGAAAUGGGCGAGAGGGAACCUUCUGGGCUGAUGGAAAUGUUCUAUACCUUGUUUAGGGUGGUGGUGAUGUG
rnacentral:lncRNA from 10 species